UGCGUAGGCGGCCUAAUAAGUUAGGGGUUAAAGCCCUCGGCUCAACCGAGGUAAGCCUUUAAAACUGUUAGGCUUGAGUGCAGGAGAGGAGAGUGGAAUUUCUAGUGUAGCGGUGAAAUGCGUAGAUAUUAGAAGGAACACCAGUGGCGAAGGCGACUCUCUGGACUGCAACUGACGCUGAGGCACGAAAGCGUGGGGAGCGAACA
rnacentral:rRNA from 1 species